AAGUUUCAACAACGGAUCUCUUGGCUCUCGCAUCGAUGAAGAACGCAGCGAAAUGCGAUAAGUAAUGUGAAUUGCAGAAUUCAGUGAAUCAUCAAAUCUUUGAACGCACCUUGCGCUCCUUGGUAUUCCUCGGAGCAUGCCUGUUUGAGUAUCA
rnacentral:rRNA from 1 species